GACUUCUCCAGCCUGCUGUCAAAUGUUGGUGCUAUGCAGCCGCCCUGCCAGAGGAAACUGACCCUGCAGCGGGGUUGCCAGUACUGCCGAGGAGACAGGACUCUUGGACUAUGGAUCCACCUUCCCCUGCCCAGACUGUGGUACAUGGAUGGAAGAUCUGUCGACCUAUCUAUUGGGUUUCUAUUGCGCCCACCACUGCGGUAUCUAAGCAUUUUCUAGGACCUCUGCCUCAUUCAGUGCACAGAAUGGACUGUGUUCAGGUUUUGUGCUGUGUUCUGUAGGACCCCUUUCUCAUUCACUGUAAAAUGGAAGGAGGGCUGUGACAAUACAUAAAUUAAUGUGUGUAAUACACUCGGUACUACAUUGCUGAGCACCAUAUCAAAACCCAACAGCCUUGUGUUGUCCCUGACUGCUGCUACGCUCAUACUGUAUGUGUCUGAAGCUCUUUUCUCCCCACCUUCCUGCAGUAUCAGUGCUUCCAAAAUUGCAGUAAGAAAUGUGAGAAGGCACUUUAUGGAGCAGUUACAGAGAACCCAGGCAGUGUGCGAAUGAUCUUGAUAGUGACAAAUGAAUAUAGAAGUUCUCAAGCAAGAAGGUGUUGAAAGACACUAAAUAGCAUGAGGGUGAGAGUGUCUUUCAACAGUAAAUGAAGCUACAAACAUAAAAAGAUGAAACCAUCAUUACUUUAUUGGCUUUUAGGGUAAAAAUCACACCCAUCCAGAGAGUCAGUACAAGGCCUAUGUGCCACUAAAAUCCUACAUAAGUAUUAUUCUGAGGUCUUACGUGGUCAUGAGGACAUGAGGCUCAGCUAUGCCCUACUCCGUAGGGAUAAAAUGAGCAUGGAUCUGUCUCAGGAGUGUACUUUAAAUACCAUAACAAAACUAAGGCUUUGCCCAACUGCUUUCUUUGGAAAUCCAAAUUUCCAGACAUUAAACCCAAAUUCAGGUACGGGAGGAGAGGGUAAUGGCCUACGAAGAUUCCACUGAGGGUCUUUACCAGAACAUUGGAACAACAGAUGUAAUUGCCUUGCCCCUGACCCUGAAAACUUAAUUCUAUCUUAUAAUUUGGGCCCAUUGCAUGGUGGGAUAGACCUCGAGGAGUUUAGCUAGUUCUGUGUUGCUGUCCAUGCUGUCUGUGAGGGCCUGAUCUUGAGCCCAUUAAGGUCAAUAAAAGUCCUCUUAUAAACUUCAGCAGGCUUUGGAUCAGGUCUUAAAUGUUCGGGAAAGCUGAUAAUUACUUUAGUAGUGAGUCUUAGGGCUUGAUCUUGUGAGGUGCUCAACCCCUCAUAGGACAGAGUUCUGAGUGUAUUAAUUCAAGGUGAUUAUUUUAGUAAUCU